rnacentral:rRNA from 1 species
ACUCCUGCGGGAGGCAGCAGUGGGGAAUUUUGGACAAUGGGCGAAAGCCUGAUCCAGCAAUGCCGCGUGAGUGAAGAAGGCCUUCGGGUUGUAAAGCUCUUUUGUCAGGGAAGAAACGGUGAAAGCUAAUAUCUUUUGCUAAUGACGGUACCUGAAGAAUAAGCACCGGCUAACUACGUGCCAGCAGCCGCGGUAAUACGUAGAGUGCAAGCGUUAAUCGGAAUUACUGGGCGUAAAGCGUGCGCAGGCGGUUUUGUAAGUCUGAUGUGAAAUCCCCGGGCUCAACCUGGGAAUUGCAUUGGAGACUGCAAGGCUAGAAUCUGGCAGAGGGGGGUAGAAUUCCACGUGUAGCAGUGAAAUGCGUAGAUAUGUGGAGGAACACCGAUGGCGAAGGCAGCCCCCUGGGUCAAGAUUGACGCUCAUGCACGAAAGCGUGGGGAGCAAACAGGAUUAGAUACCCCAGUAGUCCC